CUGGAGGAUUUAACCUCCUGUUUUCCACCUGGAAAGUUUCCAUCUGGACCUGCUUCAGUUUACACUGAAGGGAAUCAUGAGUACGAGUGUGGAGAUGAGCGCGAGGGACAGUCCUCCAGCACAUGUGUCUACAGCUUCUUCAUGAACACCAGCCUGUCUGAGGGAGGAUUACGCUCUGUCACCUCAUGUGGAGACAGGUCUGAUGCUGGAGCUGCAGGCUCAAACAUGUCGACUAACAACCUCCUUUAUGUCGGAGCGGCUGCUGCUCUGACUGUGGUCCUGAUUGUUGCUUGUUUGAUCCACCAACCCAAAAACCUGGUUGAUCUGCAAACACAAACUAGCGACGGUCUCCAGGCUCCCCUGAGCCAUGAACACUCAGUGAUGUGUUACACAGCCGUCUGCAGUGAGGAGAAGGCAGGAGGAGAGAGAGCAGCGUGCAGGAGGAGGAGGAGUCAGAAC